UACGUAGGGAGCAAGCGUUGUCCGGAAUCAUUGGGCGUAAAGCGCGCGUAGGUGGCCUCAUAAGUCCGCUGUGAAAGUCCAGGGCUCAACCCUGGAAGGCCGGUGGAAACUGUCGGGCUAGAGUCCGGAAGAGGCGAGUGGAAUUCCCGGUGUAGCGGUGAAAUGCGCAGAUAUCGGGAGGAACACCAAUGGCGAAGGCAGCUCGCUGGGACGGUACUGACGCUGAGACGCGAAAGCGUGGGGAGCAAACAGG
rnacentral:rRNA from 1 species